rnacentral:rRNA from 1 species
UAGGGAAUCUUCCGCAAUGGACGCAAGUCUGACGGAGCAACGCCGCGUGAGUGAAGAAGGAUUUCGGUUCGUAAAACUCUGUUGUUAGAGAAGAACAGCGCAUAGAGUAACUGUUAUGCGUGUGACGGUAUCUAACCAGAAAGCCACGGCUAACUACGUGCCAGCAGCCGCGGUACUACGUAGGUGGCAAGCGUUAUCCGGAAUUAUUGGGCGUAAAGCGCGCGUAGGCGGUUUUUUAAGUCUGAUGUGAAAGCCCCCGGCUCAACCGGGGAGGGUCAUUGGAAACUGGUUGACUUGAGUGCAGAAGAGGAGAGUGGAAUUCCAGGUGUAGCGGUGAAAUGCGUAGAUAUAUGGAGGAACACCAGUGGCGAAGGCGACUCUCUGGUCUGUAACUGACGCUGAGGCUCGAAAGCGUGGGUAGCAAACAGG